GAUGAAUAACGUAGCGAAAUGCGAUAAGUAAUGUGAAUUGCAGAAUUCAGUGAAUCAUCGAAUCUUUGAACGCACAUUGCGCCCGCCAGUAUUCUGGCGGGCAUGCCUGUCUGAGCGUCAUUUCAACCCUCAUGCCCCUAGGGCGUGGUGUUGGGGAUCGGCCAAAGCCCGCGAGGGACGGCCGGCCCCUAAAUCUAGUGGCGGACCCGUCGUGGCCUCCUCUGCGAAGUAGUGAUAUUCCGCAUCGGAGAGCGACGAGCCCCUGCCGUUAAACCCCCAACUUUCCAAGGUUGACCUCAGAUCAGGUAGGAAUACCCGCUGAACUUAAGCAUAUCAAUAAGCGGAGGA
rnacentral:misc_RNA from 1 species